rnacentral:tRNA from 1 species
GGAGCGUUCCGCAUUGGGCGAGCGUGGCGAAAUCAUAAUCCGCAGGUCCCCUGUUCGAAUCAGGGAUGCGCCACCA